AGUUUGAUCCUGGCUCAGGAUGAACGCUAGCUACAGGCUUAACACAUGCAAGUCGAGGGGCAGCAUUUUAGUUUGCUUGCAAACUGAAGAUGGCGACCGGCGCACGGGUGAGUAACACGUAUCCAACCUGCCGAUAACUCCGGAAUAGCCUUUCGAAAGAAAGAUUAAUACCGGAUGGCAUACGAAUAUCGCAUGAUAUUUUUAUUAAAGAAUUUCGGUUAUCGAUGGGGAUGCGUUCCAUUAGUUUGUUGGCGGGGUAACGGCCCACCAAGACUACGAUGGAUAGGGGUUCUGAGAGGAAGGUCCCCCACAUUGGAACUGAGACACGGUCCAAAUCCUACGGGAGGCAGCAGUGAGGAAUAUUGGUCAAUGGGCGCGAGCCUGAACCAGCCAAGUAGCGUGAAGGAUGAAGGCUCUAUGGGUCGUAAACUUCUUUUAUAUGGGAAUAAAGUAUUCCACGUGUGGAAUUUUGUAUGUACCAUAUGAAUAAGGAUCGGCUAACUCCGUGCCAGCAGCCGCGGUAAUACGGAGGAUCCGAGCGUUAUCCGGAUUUAUUGGGUUUAAAGGGAGCGUAGGUGGAUUGUUAAGUCAGUUGUGAAAGUUUGCGGCUCAACCGUAAAAUUGCAGUUGAAACUGGCAGUCUUGAGUACAGUAGAGGUGGGCGGAAUUCGUGGUGUAGCGGUGAAAUGCUUAGAUAUCACGAAGAACUCCGAUUGCGAAGGCAGCUCACUAGACUGUUACUGACACUGAUGCUCGAAAGUGUGGGUAUCAAACAGGAUUAGAUACCCUGGUAGUCCACACAGUAAACGAUGAAUACUCGCUGUUUGCGAUAUACAGUAAGCGGCCAAGCGAAAGCAUUAAGUAUUCCACCUGGGGAGUACGCCGGCAACGGUGAAACUCAAAGGAAUUGACGGGGGCCCGCACAAGCGGAGGAACAUGUGGUUUAAUUCGAUGAUACGCGAGGAACCUUACCCGGGCUUAAAUUGCAACAGAAUAUAUUGGAAACAGUAUAGCCGUAAGGCUGUUGUGAAGGUGCUGCAUGGUUGUCGUCAGCUCGUGCCGUGAGGUGUCGGCUUAAGUGCCAUAACGAGCGCAACCCUUAUCUUUAGUUACUAACAGGUCAUGCUGAGGACUCUAGAGAGACUGNCGUCGUAA
rnacentral:rRNA from 1 species